AGCUUUGUGCAGUGGCAGUAUAGUAGCCAAUGAGGUUUAUCCAAGGCAUAAUUAUUGCUCAUAAAAAUUUUCAGAAGACAAAAAUGGGGUGAAGGUUCUGGGCACAUUGGCUCACACCUGUAAUCCCAAUCCUUCAAGAGGCCAAGGCA
ensembl:snRNA U4 U4 spliceosomal RNA